AUUGAACGCUGGCGGCAUGCCUUACACAUGCAAGUCGAACGGUAACAGGUCUUCGGAUGCUGACGAGUGGCGAACGGGUGAGUAAUGCAUCGGAACGUGCCCAGUAGUGGGGGAUAGCCCGGCGAAAGCCGGAUUAAUACCGCAUACGACCUGAGGGUGAAAGGGGGGGAUCGCAAGACCUCUCGCUAUUGGAGCGGCCGAUGUCAGAUUAGCUAGUUGGUGGGGUAAAGGCCUACCAAGGCAACGAUCUGUAGUUGGUCUGAGAGGACGACCAGCCACACUGGGACUGAAAAACGGCCCAGACUCCUACGGGAGGCAGCAGUGGGGAAUUUUGGACAAUGGGCGCAAGCCUAAUCCAGCAAUGCCGCGUGCAGGAAGAAGGCCUUCGGGUUGUAAACUGCUUUUGUCAGGGAAGAAAUCUUCUGGGUUAAUACCUCGGGAGGAUGACGGUACCUGAAGAAUAAGCACCGGCUAACUACGUGCCAGCCGCCGCCGUAA
rnacentral:rRNA from 1 species